GGGGUCCCCUUUGGACUGGAAGAGGUGCUCAUAGUGUCUCGGCUCAGAGGAGGUUACUACGACAAGGAGAUAGGAGAGAGCUGGAGGAGAGCAGAGACAAUGGAAGAUCAGAAAUACAUAGUCUAUGUGCGAGUGAAUGGAUGGGGCCACAUCUGCUGUAGGAUCCCGUCUGACAGCAGCGGACUCUCUGGGGAGGCUAGUAAUGAUUGGGGCGUUGAUAGGUCUGGAUGAAAGGAAGCCCAUUCUCUGAUCCAGCCUAAGUAAUUUUGUUAAAACGGAGCAACUGGAGGGAGACGUUUAUGACUGAGUGGUAUAUAAUUGCAUAAGUAACGCUUGAUUGAUUUUUGUCAGAGCACACUCUAAUCAGAGCAAUGUGCGAUACUGCCGGUCUUCAUCAAUGAGAGGAACAAUGCUGAGACGCGAUAGAAAUUACAAGCCAAAAGGAAUUCUCUAAUGUCCAGUCAGACAUUUUUAUCUUUCUUAUAGGCUGAAAUACAUACAGAAUUCUUACUUUCCUGGCUAAUAUAGCCUACUUUUGUAAUGAUCAUUCAUUCUUCUCUUGGGUGUAGGCUACUGUAUGGGAUAGAAUGCAACCCAUGUUGUACAGGAUAGAAUACAAUCUUGCUUUAGUUUAAGAUGAACUUAACCUAUAUUAUUAUUGUGGUUUUGUUAUUGUUAUUGUGUUGCACAAAUGGAAGAUGGAACGCAUUAUAACAAAAGGCUUGUUGUGUAAAAAGCAUGCUUAAAUCAAGUUAGCUUUAUCUCAGCUAAUGACCUGAAGGGUCAAUGUGAAAGGCUAACUCAUGUAAAUAGCU